UACGUAGGGCGCGAGCGUUGUCCGGAUUUAUUGGGCGUAAAGAGCUCGUAGGCGGCUUGUCGCGUCGUUCGUGAAAACCCGGGGCUCAACUCCGGGCUUGCGGGCGAUACGGGCAGGCUAGAGUUCGGUAGGGGAGACUGGAAUUCCUGGUGUAGCGGUGAAAUGCGCAGAGUAUCAGGAGGAACACCGGUGGCGAAGGCGGGUCUCUGGGCCGAUACUGACGCUGAGGAGCGAAAGCGUGGGGAGCGAACAGG
rnacentral:rRNA from 1 species